rnacentral:lncRNA from 1 species
ACUUAGGGUUUAGAGUUAAAAGGUGGGGUUUAGGAUUUAGGGUCUAGGGUUUAGGGUUUAGAGUUUAAGGUUAAGGGUUUAAAUUUUAGGGUUUAGGGUUUAGAGUUUAGGGUUUAGGGUUUAGAGUUUAGGGUUUAGGGUUUAGGGUUUAGGGUUUAAAAUUGAGGGUUUAUGAUUUAGAGUUUAGGGUUUAGGGUUUAGAGUUGAGAAAUGAGGUUUUGGGUUUAAGAUUUCAAAUUUUGAAAAAUAAAAAAAUUAAAAUUUUCAAAGAAUAAACUUAGAAAUAUGCUAUUUUAGUCAUUUUAGUUUUUGAGUGCUAUUUUUGUGAUAUAAACUUAGAAAUGUGCUAUUUUGGAGAUUUGCCCUACAU